AGUGAACGCUGGCGGUAGGCCUAACACAUGCAAGUCGAACGGCAGCACAGUAAGAGCUUGCUCUUACGGGUGGCGAGUGGCGGACGGGUGAGGAAUACAUCGGAAUCUACUUUUUCGUGGGGGAUAACGUAGGGAAACUUACGCUAAUACCGCAUACGACCUACGGGUGAAAGCAGGGGAUCUUCGGACCUUGCGCGAUUGAAUGAGCCGAUGUCGGAUUAGCUAGUUGGCGGGGUAAAGGCCCACCAAGGCGACGAUCCGUAGCUGGUCUGAGAGGAUGAUCAGCCACACUGGAACUGAGACACGGUCAAGACUCCUACGGGAGGAAGCAGUGGGGAAUAUUGGACAAGGGGCGCAAGCCUGAUCCAGACAUACCGCGUGGGUGAAGAAGGCCUUCGGGUUGCAAAGCCCUUUUGUUGGGAAAGAAAAGCAGCAGGUUAAUACCCCGCUGUUCUGACGGUACCCAAAGAAUAAGCACCGGCUAACUUCGUG
rnacentral:rRNA from 1 species